rnacentral:tRNA from 1 species
GCCCCCUUAGCUUAGUAGGAGAGCAAUGCCGUGACGUGGCAGAGGCGGACGUGCAAUUCGUCCAGGGGGCACCA